CUCUAUACAUGUUCACAGUGCAAAUAAUAAUCAUACGGGAAUAUAUAGCUGCCAAACCAAGUCAUUGGAUUCAAUGAGCAGGGCUUAUGUAAAAGUGGAAGACUGUGAUUUUCCUUCAAAUUUAUCCACUGUAAAUAAAACAUCAUCCUCUCUGACUACCACAUACCAAAGCUCUACACCAUCAAGGAUUUUGGAUCCAGUGCUGAUAUGGUACAUGCUGUUCAAGACAGGGGUUUUUCUCAUCGGGUCAAUAAUUGCAGCGCUGAAAACUGUGUGCCAGAAGCACUGAAAAAUGAACAGAAUUUCUGUCAAUUCUGUCAAAAAACUAUGCUUCCAAUAAAUGUUCUCCAUUCAUUUUCUCUUGGAUGCUGCUAUACAGAAUUCAAUAUUCUUCCAGUGCUGAAUUUGUAAAUGUUAUCUAGUGCUCUGCCUCUGUGUUGUGAUGCUCAGAUGUGUCUAAAUUCAAAACAGCUUUGUGAACUUGGCCGUUAUCUCUCAGCAUUUUUACUAAGUAAAUAAAUAAAACCAUACGAAUUCUCACA